AGGGGAUUGACGGAGGAAGGGCGGAGACAGCGGAGGGAAGGUGGGGUUCCUCGCCGGUGAUUAGCAGCAGGUCGUCGAGGCGGAGAUGGCACGCGGCGGGUCCCCAGCAAAGAGCGCUUGAUUGUGGGAGGCGUAUUUCGCAGGGAUGACCACAGGUACAGGGGAUGUUGGUCUGGAGGGAGCUCGGGGAGCUCUCCUGUCGUGCUCGCCACCAGCGCCUGUCGAUGGGAGAGGUAGUAGUCGCCGCGGUGGGGCGCAAGUUUCAAAAGUGAUACUGCCGCAUACAAGUCAGUAACAGAUGGUCAUAUCGCUUUUCAACAAGGAUGGUUGAGAGGAAUUCCCGGAGGAGAACUACCAAGCAUUGAGAGAGCGGUGCUAAUCACCAUCAGGAACAGUGCACUGGACGAACUGAAUACGAUGGACGAUGGUUGUCUUCAACGAGGUCUAAUUAUGAGAUUGUCAGGAAUAAGACUGUUUUAAGUUACCGCGGUUUGUUAUGUUGUCUGUCAUCGAUGUCGCGCCAGAAGAUUGACGAACUAUGCUUUGUUUUAUGUUUUUGUUUUCUUGGUGGUAUUCACCGUCAAGAACUAUGUAUAUUGCGUCUCAAAACUUCUUGUGCUUUUUCUGUGUGGCAGUUGAUUAUUAAGUGAUCA